AACGCUGGCGGCGUGCUUAACACAUGCAAGUCGAACGGAAAGGCCCUGCUUUUGUGGGGUGCUCGAGUGGCGAACGGGUGAGUAACACGUGAGUAACCUGCCCUUGACUUUGGGAUAACUUCAGGAAACUGGGGCUAAUACCGGAUAGGAGCUCCUGCUGCAUGGUGGGGGUUGGAAAGUUUCGGCGGUUGGGGAUGGACUCGCGGCUUAUCAGCUUGUUGGUGGGGUAGUGGCUUACCAAGGCUUUGACGGGUAGCCGGCCUGAGAGGGUGACCGGCCACAUUGGGACUGAGAUACGGCCCAGACUCCUACGGGAGGCAGCAGUGGGGAAUAUUGCACAAUGGGCGGAAGCCUGAUGCAGCAACGCCGCGUGCGGGAUGACGGCCUUCGGGUUGUAAACCGCUUUCGCCUGUGACGAAGCGUGAGUGACGGUAAUGGGUAAAGAAGCACCGGCUAACUACGUGCCAGCAGCCGCGGUGAUACGUAGGGUGCGAGCGUUGUCCGGAUUUAUUGGGCGUAAAGGGCUCGUAGGUGGUUGAUCGCGUCGGAAGUGU
rnacentral:rRNA from 1 species